rnacentral:rRNA from 1 species
UACGUAGGGUGCAAGCGUUAAUCGGAAUUACUGGGCGUAAAGCGUGCGCAGGCGGUUUGGUAAGACAGAUGUGAAAUCCCUGGGCUCAACCUAGGAAUUGCAUUUGUGACUGCCCGGCUAGAGUGUGUCAGAGGGGGGGUAGAAUUCCACGUGUAGCAGUGAAAUGCGUAGAUAUGUGGAGGAAUACCGAUGGCGAAGGCAGCCCCCUGGGAUAACACUGACGCUCAUGCA